rnacentral:rRNA from 1 species
GAUGAACGCUAGCGGGAGGCUUAACACAUGCAAGUCGAGGGGUAUAGUAGCAAUACUAGAGACCGGCGCACGGGUGAGUAACGCGUAUGCAACCUGCCCUUUACAGGGGGAUAGCCCGUCGAAAGGCGGAUUGAUACCCCAUAAUAUUGUACCAUCGCAUGAUGGAACGAUAAAAGCUGCGGCGGUAAAGGAUGGGCAUGCGUGACAUUAGCUAGUUGGUAGGGUAACGGCCUACCAAGGCUACGAUGUCUAGGGGUUCUGAGAGGAAGGUCCCCCACACUGGUACUGAGACACGGACCAGACUCCUACGGGAGGCAGCAGUGAGGAAUAUUGGUCAAUGGGCGCGAGCCUGAACCAGCCAUCCCGCGUGCAGGAAGACGGCCCUAUGGGUUGUAAACUGCUUUUGUGCAGGAAGAACGCCAGGUACGUGUACUUGGGUGACGGUACUGCAUGAAUAAGCACCGGCUAACUCCGUGCCAGCCGCCGCGGUAACAC